UAGAGUUGAUAUGGCUCAGAUCAACGCUGGCGGCGUGCCUAACACAUGCAAGUCGAACGCGAAAGCCCCGCAAGGGGUAAGUAGAGUGGCAAACGGGUGAGUAACACGUGGGUGACCUGCCUUCGAGUGGGGGAUAACGUCCCGAAAGGGACGCUAAUACCGCAUAACAUCCUGCCUUUGAAGAGGUGGAGAUCAAAGCUGGGGACCGCAAGGCCUAGCGCUCAAAGAGGGGCCCGCGCCUGAUUAGCUAGUUGGUGGGGUAAUGGCUCACCAAGGCAACGAUCAGUAUCCGGCCUGAGAGGGCGGACGGACACACUGGGACUGAGACACGGCCCAGACUCCUACGGGAGGCAGCAGUGGGGAAUUGUUCGCAAUGGGCGCAAGCCUGACGACGCAACGCCGCGUGGAGGAUGAAGACCUUCGGGUCGUAAACUCCUUUCGAUCGAGACGAACAGCUUCCGGGUGAACAAUCCGGAGGUUUGACGGUACCGAGAGAAGAAGCCCCGGCUAACUCCGUGCCAGCAGCCGCGGUAAUACGGGGGGGGCAAGCGUUGUUCGGAAUUACUGGGCGUAAAGGGCUCGUAGGUGGCCAACUAAGUCAGACGUGAAAUCCCUCGGCUUAACCGGGGAACUGCGUCUGAUACUGGAUGGCUUGAGUUUGGGAGAGGGACGCGGAAUUCCAGGUGUAGCGGUGAAAUGCGUAGAUAUCUGGAGGAACACCG
rnacentral:rRNA from 1 species